AGAGAAAGUCCCCGUACACUUGAGUAGAUAGGGAUGCCAGAGAGCCAAAGAUGGCCUGUUCGGCCCCUGGAGGGAGCACCUGCCCGCUCAGCG
rnacentral:RNase_MRP_RNA from 1 species